AAUCCUACGUAGCUUGCUCGUCUACUCGCAUCAACACAAUACAUACAUAGUAUAGCAAAAAUUAACAUUACACCAAGCAUGUAAAUAAAAUACACAGUAAUAAUCUAGACAUUAAAAUGAGAUCAUAGGAACUGGAAUCAUUAAAUUUGGAGUUAUAGAUUUUAAGUUAUGGAUUUUCUAAUGUUUUAUGUGCUUAAUACAAGAUUAUGUGAUAGAUAAAUUUAAAUGAGUCUUUCAUGCCAAAACAGUGUCACUAUUUGAUAAAGGGUAAUAUUAAAAAAUUAUAGGAACUAGAAUGGGCCAAUUUGGAGUUCAUAUGCAUUUUGUACAAUUUAAACAAGUUUCAACAAUUAUUUUUGUAUUAAAAAUACAUUUCUGAUUUAUUUUCUCUGGUUUUAUAAUUCCCUGGAGUGAGCCUCAAAUCCUAGAACACGCAGGGGUCCUAGCGCAAAGUGUCCCGAGACACAGCAAAACCAGGUCGUAGACUGCGGGUUUAUUAACAGCUUUUCCAGGGGCUCUUUUACAAAAUGUUCAAGGCGAAAGGGUAUCGGAUAAUAUCGGCCGUCCGAUUAGAAAUCACGCGUCCAGAUUAAAUCAACAGACGCGCGAACCGGUACGCCAUGGGAUCCGCACGAUCUAAGAUCAACGGUCACCAUUUAAUGAUUACAGAGGUAAGCGCCUAUCGUCCGAUUCGAGAUCGACGACCCGAAUGAAGGGAGUAUCACUGAUCUAAUCAGAACCGUCAACCCGAGAUCCUACGGCCCACAGUUCUUCUUCUCCCCCUAUUCUACACGACGGAGACGCACAGUCCGCCCACGGCGGAGCAUCAUCGGCGGACGCGCAAUUCCACGGCUGGACGCUCCAAACUCAAAAUUGGUCGGUGCCAAACCUAGAGGGGGUGAUGGCGAUUACGGAAAGGGGGUUCUCACCACGGUUGGUAGCGCGGACAGCCCUGGUCACGGGAACCUGCGGAUUCUCCAACACCGGCAAGGAAUUUCGUGAGCUCCGGUGAGCUCCCCUCUUCGAUUGCGCCCACGCCCGACUUCCACGCGACCAGCACUUCCAACUCGAUUGACCCUGACCACCCAGCAGACCUCGGACGGCGACGCAACGCACGGCGACGGUGGCGACGCGAAUCGCUCCCUCGCGGCGGUGUCUGGCGGCGGGAUGGUGGAGAGUUUGGCUCGGCGCAUGCGCGAG
rnacentral:lncRNA from 1 species